rnacentral:rRNA from 1 species
UACAGAGGGGGCAAGCGUUGUUCGGAAUUACUGGGCGUAAAGGGCGCGUAGGCGGCCUUCUAAGUCGAACGUGAAAUCCCUGGGCUCAACCCAGGAACUGCGUCCGAUACUGGAAGGCUUGAAUCCGGGAGAGGGAUGUGGAAUUCCAGGUGUAGCGGUGAAAUGCGUAGAUAUCUGGAGGAACACCGGUGGCGAAGGCGGUUCUCUGGGCAUUACCUGACGCUGAGGAGCGAAAGCAUGGGGAGCGAACAGG